UGACACUCGACACUUCUCAGUAACUACGAUGCAAGCACAGUAACCGCCGGAAAAAGAAAAAAAACUUGUACCAAGCAUCCUGUCUGGAGAAUGUAUCUGCCACAAUUGUGGCCUAUAAUGAGAUACCUCGUGGAUUGGAUAAUGUUUGAAUGAUCUUACUUUGUACUGUUCCAUUUUUUCCAUAUCUUUCAACUUCUUUGCCCAGCGACAAUCUCCUUGUAUGAAAUUCUCCUGUCUGGAAGACAGAUAUUCAUCCUCAAUGCCCCUUCGAUUUGAUAUAAAACUAAUAACUAGAUGAUACGGUGGAUUGAAGAGCAAACAAUGGCGGAUUCCCCAACCGUGUGAGAACACAGGCAAGCAAGCUGAUAUAUCUCAUCAUCUCUGAGGAAGCAGAUCUGACAGACAGACAGAUAGUACUUGGAAUUAUUAUUUCCAAUAUUAGUUUAUUGAUAACUAAUGCCACCCUUGAGAAGAUAUUUCAACUGCGACGCAGUACACCACCCUGCGCACUCGCCUUUUCAGGCAUUCAACCACGCCUCGAUUUUUGGACCCGAUCCCCGAAAAGAAAAGAAAGAA
rnacentral:sRNA from 2 species